rnacentral:rRNA from 2 species
UUUGUAUAAUGGGUCAGCGACUUAUAUUCAGUGGCAAGGUUAACCAUCUAGGGGAGCCGUAGGGAAACCGAGUCUUAACUGGGCGUUCAGUCUCUGGAUAUAGACCCGAAACCAGGUGAUCUAGCCAUGGGCAGGUUGAAGGUUGAGUAACAUCAACUGGAGGACCGAACCGACUAAUGUUGAAAAAUUAGCGGAUGACUUGUGGCUAGGGGUGAAAGGCCAAUCAAACCUGGAGAUAGCUGGUUCUCCCCGAAAGCUAUUUAGGUAGCGCCUCGGACGAAUACUACUGGGGGUAGAGCACUGUUAAGGCUAGGGGGUCAUCCCGACUUACCAACCCUUUGCAAACUCCGAAUACCAGUAAGUACUAUCCGGGAGACACACGGCGGGUGCUAACGUCCGUCGUGGAGAGGGAAACAACCCAGACCGCCAGCUAAGGUCCCAAAUUACUACUAAGUGGGAAACGAUGUGGGAAGGCUCAGACAGCCAGGAUGUUGGCUUAGAAGCAGCCAUCAUUUAAAGAAAGCGUAAUAGCUCACUGGUCGAGUCGGCCUGCGCGGAAGAUGUAACGGGGCUAAGUAG